AACGCUGGCGGCGUGCUUACACAUGCAAGUCGAACGAUGAAGCCUAGCUUGCUAGGUGGAUUAGUGGCGAACGGGUGAGUAAUACGUGAGUAACCUACCUUUAACUCUGGGAUAAGCCUGAGAAACUGGGUCUAAUACCGGAUACGACCAAUCUCCGCAUGGGGUGUUGGUGGAAAGCGUUAUGUAGUGGUUAUAGAUGGGCUCACGGCCUAUCAGCUUGUUGGUGAGGUAACGGCUCACCAAGGCGACGACGGGUAGCCGGCCUGAGAGGGUGACCGGCCACACUGGGACUGAGACACGGCCCAGACUCCUACGGGAGGCAGCAGUGGGGAAUAUUGCACAAUGGGCGCAAGCCUGAUGCAGCGACGCCGCGUGAGGGAUGACGGCCUUCGGGUUGUAAACCUCUGUUAGCAGGGAAGAAGAGAAAUUGACGGUACCUGCAGAGAAAGCGCCGGCUAACUACGUGCCAGCAGCCGCGGUAAUACGUAGGGCGCGAGCGUUGUCCGGAAUUAUUGGGCGUAAAGAGCUUGUAGGCGGUUUGUCGCGUCUGCUGUGAAAGGCCGGGGCUUAACCCCGUGUAUUGCAGUGGGUACGGGCAGACUAGAGUGCAGUAGGGGAGACUGGAAUUCCUGGUGUAGCGGUGGAAUGCGCAGAUAUCAGGAGGAACACCGAUGGCGAAGGCAGGUCUCUGGGCUGUAACUGACGCUGAGAAGCGAAAGCAUGGGGAGCGAACAGGAUUAGAUACCCUGGUAGUCCAUGCCGUAAACGUUGGGCACUAGGUGUGGGGGACAUUCCACGUUUUCCGCGCCGUAGCUAACGCAUUAAGUGCCCCGC
rnacentral:rRNA from 1 species